rnacentral:snRNA from 1 species
GUGCUCGCUUCGGCAAUGCACACCCUGAACUUGGAACAAUACAGAGAAGAUUAGUGCACCCCCCAAUCCCCGCUCAAGGAUGGCAUGCAAAUUUGUUCCGUAUUUUA